UCAAGACAUAAUAGUAAUCAAAAUGUGAAACAUUACUUGAUAAGUUUAAUGCUUCGAAGUAUAAGCCUAGUAAUAUAACAAAACUAUAUUUCAGACAAGUUUAGUGGAAUUAACUACAAUCCAAAAUAAAACACCAUCCAACUCGAUCAUUCAAGUUUAUCUUGUAAUUCAUCAGCCAAAUCGUCCACUUCAAAUUCAUCACCGAUGUCAUUCUCUUGAAUUUCAUCAUCCAGGUCAUCCUCUUGAAAUUCAUCAUCUAGGUCAUCCUCUUGAAAUUCAUUAUCUAUAUCAUCCUCCUGAAAUUCAUCACUUAAGUUGUCCUCAAGAAAUUCGUCCUCAAGAAAUUCAUCAUCUACGUCUUCCUCUUGAAAUUCCUCAUCUAUGUCAUCAUGUACAACAUCUUCAUUGAUAACUUGCUGCAUAAGAACAAAAUACAUCAACUAUAGAUAUUGUUGGUUCAAAGGUCAAUCAAAGACAUCAACAAGUGUUGUACCUCGCACAAAUAAAAACCAAAACAACAACUAAAACACAGUCAACAUAGCCGCAAAUAGGAAACUUGUUUUACACAUUUCCCUUCCUUAUUCUAUCAUUACAAGCUCAUUUUUCAGUUUCUGCAACUUAUGCCUUGUUAUGCAACAAAGAAACAAACACAAAAUGCAGAAAAAUAAAUCACAAGUUUGCACAAACACCACAAAUUGCAUAAACAAAAUUUAUGCAUAAAAUUCUGCAACACAAUCAAAAUCCGACUUUGGACACGCAUUUUAAACAAUUAAGCCAAACAACAUAAUCAUAAGUUCGCACAGCUCUAAAUUAAACCCAGCAUACGCAAGUUAACAAUUUCAGACACUUGCCUACAUUCCAAGUGAUGUCAUCACUAACAACUUUUUGCAUAUAUAAUAAUAACAAGCAAAACAAAAUAUAUGCAUAAAAUUCAACAACAUAAAGAGAAUCUGACCCUGCACACACAUCUUAAACAAUUAAGCAAAAUAACAUAAUCAUAAAUUCGCACAGCUCUAAUUCAGACCCUACACACGCAACUUAACAGUUUAUCCCAAUUCUUAUUGAACUUAAUUGAUGUCAAGUAUAGCAUCAUN
rnacentral:lncRNA from 1 species